rnacentral:lncRNA from 10 species
GAGUUCUUGCCAUGCUUAUUUCUUGCCAGUGCUCGUUCUCUGCUUGGUGCAGAAAGCAGUCUCCUAAGAACAUAUGCCAGGCCAUGGGCGGCAGAAGGACUGGGAUUAUGAUCCAAACCUGAGCAGAGAAGUCCCCCAUCUUCUGGAAUGAAAUUCUGGAAUCCACUGGACUUGUUCUUCCUGUUCCCAUUUUCCUCCAGUUGCCCUGUUGGCUGGGGAGCUUCAGGGAGCAACAGCAGACUUAGAUAUCUGGACUGGAAGAGAGAGUCAACAAUGGAACACUGAGCCUCCCCGAACCUUUUUGCUUGACUGAGGACUGAGGACAGAGGACUGAAGGAUCUCAUGUGGGCCACAUGAGGUUUGCCUUUAGCAUAAUAUUGCACACAAUCUUGAGGGCUCCAAUGUGGGAAGAAAAGUCAGUGAUUACCCAUUUGUGGAUCUCAGGAGAUGUUGGCUGAGAAACAUCAAGACCGUGUUGUCAAAGUGCUGUGUGAAACCUGGCUCAUCAUGGUGCAGUUGGAGCUUUAAAAGAUGCUAUUAAAACCAUUGCUGCAGAAAUGGACAGAUUCUGCUUAACUCAGUCGCUCCUGCUCUUUAUGUUAUUUCUGAGAUAAUUCAGCCAUUUCUUUGAUCCCAGAUCCUUUUUUAAAAAUGUUUUAUUUCACAUAACAUGACA